rnacentral:rRNA from 1 species
GACGAACGCUGGCGGCGUGCUUAACACAUGCAAGUCGAGCGGUAAGGCCCUUUCGGGGGUACACGAGCGGCGAACGGGUGAGUAACACGUGGGUGACCUGCCCUUAGCUCUGGGAUAAAGCCUGGGAAACUGGGUCUAAUACCGGAUAUGACUCCAUGACGCAUGUUGUGGGGUGGAAAGCCUUGUGCGGCUAGGGAUGGGCCCGCGGCCCAUCAGCUUGUUGGUGGGGUGAUGGCCUACCAAGGCGACGACGGGUAGCCGGCCUGAGAGGGCGACCGGCCACACUGGGACUGAGACACGGCCCAGACUCCUACGGGAGGCAGCAGUGGGGAAUCUUGCGCAAUGGGCGAAAGCCUGACGCAGCGACGCCGCGUGAGGGAUGACGGCCU